UUAGCAUGCAGAUAAUUAAGCUCGAUGGAUAAAAUAGACCUCAACAUAAGCAUCGUUCAAACAUUGAGCAGUGUUUAAAUCACUUUCUAAUGGUAGGAAUAGUUUAAAGCACAUUGUUUCAUUGUAUAGAAUGUUCUCUCUCCUUUUCCGACUUUUUUCAGAAUUUUUUCUUGCAUGUCGCAUCUUCCCAAGAACCUAAACUUCUAACCGCGUCAAUCCUUAUAAUUGAUACGGUUAGGAUUAUGCAAACUGAACUUCUCUGUUGUCUAAAGAUGGAUAUUUGAGUCAUUCUUCUUAGAGCCAGGACUUAUUGGAUCAAAGAGGAAAGCAGAAAAAGUUCAAAGUUUCUAGAGAUUCAAAGUUUCUUCCGGAAAAAUCAAUGAAUUGGGUUUAUAAUUCUACUUUGGAGGUAGUUUCCUGCUUGUCUCUCAAACCUAAGAAAUUGACUCAAAGAUUUCAUCUAGAAGUCCUUAUAGGAAUGUUACUAACUCACAAGGGUGCUUUAUGAAAAUAUCAAGAAUCGAGCUAUCUAAAGAUUAUUGAUUUAUAUUUUUCUUUAUUUCGUGUGGUAAUUCAGGAUCCAUUUGGAAAUCUUUACGAUCCUCGAUUAUUUCAUUUUCUGAAGCUAAGCGUCUGUUUAUGUUUAACCAGAUUAUUUUCCUGUUUUGAAUAUUCAGUUUGGCUACUUAUAGGUUCUAAAUAUAAUGAUAUUGCUUGUGAAAUUCAGAACAUUCUUUCGACGAGGAACAAGAUUGGUUAAUGGUAAUUCUAAAAAAUUUAACUGGUCUAGUAAUCUUGAAUAUACGAUGUAUUAAUUUGAAAUUAUAUUUCUUCUUGGCCAAGUCAAAGAGGAUUUUUUGGUCAGUUUCACGAGGAGCGGAAAUUUAAGAUUGGAAUUAUGAGGCUUCCGAAGAAACCUGCGCGUAAAGAUCCGAGGCAUAGAUCCUCGACUGAUCCUCCUCCGCGUGUGGAUCAUCUUGACGCUACGCCUUCCCCUCCUCCUGAGGCUACUGAGGAUAUUGAGGUGCCUGAGGCAGCUGAGCAUACUGAGUUACCUGAGAUAGACCUUCACCUUUGCCACAUUAUGAAUUACAUAGAUUGCAACUUCUCUACAAGGACAGCUAUUCUGGAUGGUCCCUUGCUGAAAUCUCCAAGUCUUUUCGCCUGCAUAAGUUUGAAAUUCCUUUGUUGAUGGUCCUGACGUUCUCACUGAGUCUCUGAUUCGGAGCAUUCCUUAUGAUGAGAACAACCUAUUGAUCAGCGUUGACCAGUUGGCUGAAGGUAUGCUCGUACCUUUGUAUAAUAGAAAGGAUCCCUUCUACUACGAUGUAAAGUCCACCAGGGAUGACCCUGUGAACAAGACUCAGGUCCGAGGGGUGACGUAGUAUACCGGUAACUACUGUCGUGCCCUUCGUGAAAGUUGGUACCGUAGCAAGGGUAAGACUACUCUGAAAUCUUAUGAGUCUAUGACCCCUUUUCUCCUGAGAGGUAUAAGCAGGAGGAUUACACCCCUUCCAAGUUCAAUGCCACGUAUGCUGAUGCCCAUUCAGAAAAGCAAUCUUCUUCCUUAGUGUGUUGGUCCACGCCGCAUUCACGUUUCUGCCAAGCAGAUUAGGGAAGGCAAUAGCCUUCAUUUAUUGGAGGAGAUUGACAAGACUGGGUUGACGGUUAUCCCUUACUUGGCUAGGAUUUUCUUGCCGAAGUCUGAUCGUAUUCGUCUUGAUCAUGAUAAUCGUUUGGAACGUACUCCUCUUCGUGUCGUUGGUCCUUGGGCCUACGGAUUUACUACCGCAAAUCCCAACGUUCCUCGUACAGCUUCGUCCCUGCCUUCUAAAUAUGAUGGCUACCAGCCUUGGGUUUUUAACCCUGCCGAUUAUGAUGAGCCUGCCCCCGCUUCUUCUGCUGGUAACUCCGUAGCUACUCGGACAAGGAAAAUGAGGGCUUCUAUUGGAGCAACUAAGUCAACACCUGCGUAGUCUUCCAAGAAGAAAGGAAAGUUGAAAGCCGUGAUCGAUGUUCAAGAAUCUGAUGAGGAUCCCAAGGUUGUUGAAGAGGAACCUGAUGAUGAGGACAUGGAUGAUACUUCCCUUAGUCCUAAUUUAGAGGAUAUUGAGGAAGAUUUUUCAAAAGAAGGUCCUAGUCCCAUUCGUGGUGGUUCUGUUGAAGGCGAUAAUCUUCAGGUUGGCGGUGGCUCUUUGCUAAUGAGCCAAGCGAGUUCUCACAUGGCUGUGAUCCCUACUCCUUUGUUGAGGUGCCUGCAUUUUCUUCCCCGAGUGAUAUGCAACUUGUUGCUUCGGAUGUCACUAGUGCUAUGGUGUUGUCUUCUAAGGGACCUCUGUCCUCUCCUGCUACUUCGCGUCAUUGAAGCGGUUCGUUCGCGAAGGGUGUUGUUCCUGUAGUAAGGGUCAGCAGUUCGGAUUCUCGGCCGAAGAAGAAGUUUGUGAUUUAUCUUGGUAGAUUCUUCUUCAAUGUUAUGCCCGCUCCAUUGGGAAGUGGUCAGUCUGCUUCUACUUCCCUCGUUAGCAAGGUUGUUAGGCCACCUCCUUCGUCACCUGAUUGGAAUGUCAUGGGUAUCCUUCCUUCUGCCGGUGACAUGGAUUUGGUUGGUUCUUCUAGACAGGUACUUGAUUUUUUCCCUAGAUCUUCCACCAUGCCAUCCCUUCGUCGUGGUGAGGAUCAAGUAUUGAUACCUCAUGCUCGCUAUCAAGCGACUAGUGGGGUUUUUACUGAUCUUGGGAAAGGUAAGUUACCUAAGAAUUUGAGCCUUGGGAGCUCUGAUGAUGCCAUCCUUGAAUCCAUAUUACGGGAUGCUAAGGGUCCCUUUUCUGCUGAGGUUGAUCGUCAUCAGUUGAGUGAUUCUCGGGAGAUUGAUUCAAAAUUGGAUACUCUGAAGGCUCAGUAUCGAGUGGCUAAGGACCUAUUCAUUGAUCCAGACUGACUUUGUUCUAGCCAGAGCUUUGGUGAAAUCCACAGGGUUAGCAUCCAAGAUAUGGAGACUUUCAUGGAUACAUAUGCUGACUUUCUUCCUCUCAUUUCCUUGUUCUCGCUUCGCAAGCAAAUCGAUGUUGGAUGUACUUUUUUCAAGUUCUAUAGGGAUAAGUGUACUCACUUGAGUGCUCUUUUGGAGCGUGCUCGCCAAGAUUAUGCCUUCGUUAGUGCGCAACAGUCUUCUUCAGGUGAUGCUGCUUCUUCUGCUAAGGUACCUUUGUUGAAGAGUGAGUUGAGAAAGACUCAAAGGUCCUUAGAAGCUUGUUUUAUGGCUCUUAAAAAAGCCAAUGAUGCUACAAAGGUUGCUGAGGAGGGACGCAAAGCGGUUGACUUUGCUUUGGCUUCUGAAUCCUCCAAAGUUAUAGGUUCGUUCUUUCUCCCUUUUAGCUUCAUUUUUAUUUUUGUCUGGUAGCAUGGUACUGAGAGUACCUACGCCUGCCAGUUGGUAGCUCCGGUGAGCUUAGACACCUUUGGGAGCAAGUGGCCAAGUUGACCUCCCAUGUUUGGUAUUAUCAGAAGAAGUCUGAUAGGUUAAUGAACAUGACUGUUCAUAAUGAGGCACAAAUCUCCCUUGAGGCUUCUCAUAACUCAGACCUUGUGAAGAAGAUGGCUCUCCUUCGUGAAGAGUGUGACGAAACCCUUAAGUAGAAAGAGGAUCUCAUAUUAAAGAAAAAGGAGGAUAUUGCCUUAGUUGAAAAACGUCUCUCAGCUCAAGAGAUUAUCCGAAAAAGCAUCAUGCAGACUUUGAAGAUGUCUGCACUUCCUUAGCUAAAGUUACCACCAAACGUAACGUAUUAUCUUCUGAGGUUCGUUCCCUUAAGGAUAAGAUUAGUGAGGAUUCUUCAGUGUCCCCUUCCGCAUCCCAUGCAUAUAUGGUCAAAAGGUUGGCAGAGUUAGAGGAUGUUUACCGAGUUUUAUCCUCCGAGAAUACUUCGCUCCGGAUAAAUGUUGAAGAUCUCCAGACCGAACGUGAUACUUUGGCUGAGGAUCUUAAUGCUACCGAGGACGAUCUUGCCGAAGAUGAGCGUAGUUUGGAAGAUUCCCUUAGCCACGCUGGAGGUCUUCAGGAACAACUCAUAGGUGUGAACGCCAAGGUCAGUCACCUUCAAAGCUAAGUAUCUUCAUUGGAGAUAGCCCGUCAGUUUGAUGCUGCUUCAAAGUUCAAUGCUGAGACACUUCAGCAAGCCAAUGACCACCUAAGUGCUCAGAUGAUGGAGCUCCUUCAUAAAUCAGCUUAUGAUUUGGAGGCUCAGGCUUCGCGGAUGAAAUUGGAAUAUGAGCAUUCAGAUAUUGAUUAUAUAAAUAAGGCCUUUGUUGAAGCUGAACGCUAAGCUGAUGGAGUUGUCUUUGAUCGUCUCCCUUACCCUUGAUUCUAUCGUUUGUACUUUGUUUAAGUAAACUUCUUUUUGUUGUUUAUGUCCUCAGCUGAGGUAUCUUCUUUCGCUGAGAUGUCUCCGUUCUUUGAAACAAUGUCUUAUGGUUGCUUGAACCUUCAUGUUAUCUUCCAUGCAACUUUUUAAAGAAAUGUGAGACAUAUUUUGGUAAAA